UACGUAGGGUCCGAGCGUUGUCCGGAAUUACUGGGCGUAAAGAGCUCGUAGGUGGUUUGUCGCGUUGUUCGUGAAAACUCACAGCUUAACUGUGGGCGUGCGGGCGAUACGGGCAGACUUGAGUACUGCAGGGGAGACUGGAAUUCCUGGUGUAGCGGUGAAAUGCGUAGAUAUCAGGAGGAACACCGGUGGCGAAGGCGGGUCUCUGGGCCGUUACUGACGCUGAGGAGCGAAAGCGUGGGGAGCGAACAGG
rnacentral:rRNA from 1 species